UAGCUCCUGCCAUUCAUUGUGGGUUUUUCUUCAGUAGCACAAGCUGCCCCCAUCUCUGGCUCUGAGCUGUGGGUCCCGGCUCCCCGCUUUUCUCCUGUCUCCGAAGGCUUGCCUGGGUAAGAAGGCGCGUCAAGUGCGAAGCGUCGAGGGCGCCGCCCAUUUUUCUCAAGCUCCGGUUCCUUGGAGCCCGAAAGAGAGGAAGGAGGAAGGAAGCUCCCGCCUGGCAGCCCGGCGGGUGUGCGGGCUUUUCUUCCUUAGCCAUCUGUUUUAGCGGAUGCCAGCCCCCCACCCCCACCCCAUCCCCCGCUGUUUUACAGAGGAAGGAUUCUAGAUUCCUGAUGAAAUGGAGCGUCCAUCCCGGCAGCCUCUUCCCAGGGUGAACUUGUUGGGAAGGGAAGGAAAUAAGCAAUCAUAAAGCCCAACAACCAUGCCAGAUGAGUGUGCACAAAGACACUUGUGCGUGAAGGAGAUUUAAGUGGAAAAUCCGAUGCACAGAGACAGUCCCACUCUCUCGGCGUUGGAAGCCUGGGUCAAGUGGCACGAAAAGUCGUUACACCUGGAGACUUCCUCAGCUGCAUUGGAUGGCCGUGUUGUCCUUUGUGCUCCAACACGCCCUGAGCACUCCACAGUGCUUUGCUGUGUCGCCCUCUCAGCCGUUGAACCUUCUUAUUGGUUUCUUCUGUCUAUUCGGCCGAAGCAGUCUUCACAUGCUGGGUGAGCAAAGCCCUGGUUCACCAGGGGUCGAUGACUCGAUGGCUACCCUCACAAGGUUUAGCUGGCCUGUGGAAGCCGUUGCCCAGGGUGUGGCCGCUGCCGAAUGCUAGCAGCUACAUAGAUUGUUAAACAACAUAUAUUAUAUUAUUAUUUUAAAGGAUACUAUUAUAAUAAAAGAUUAUAGUCAAAGCACUUGAGUUCAAUUACUAGGUCUAUUCCUUACUACACAGGAUCUGUAUGACCCUAGGCAAGUCAUUUAAUUUCUUUAGAUUUCAAUUUCCCUGUCUGUAAAAUGAGGAAGAUAAGAUGAUGUCAUAAGUCUUGUCCUUCUUUAAAUUUAUGAUCCUAGGACCUUUGAGUAGGGGAUUUGUGAUCAAGUAAUCAACAAGCAUUAAUUACCUCAAAAUGCUAGACAUUGUCCUAAAUACAGGAGAUACAAAAUACAAAAGUCAAGCUGUUCCCUACCUUUAGGAAGCUUGUAGUCUCCUGGGGAAGACUCUGUGAUAUAUAUAUAUAUUUGUAUAAACAAAUAUAAUCCAUUUUUCCAGCUAAAUCUAGGAUGUUUUGUGUGUUGUUGCUCAGGCAUGACUUCUAAUUUGGUGGAGAGAAUGCUGACAUGCAACUGUGUGUUUGUGUGACAGGAGGAAUUUGUUCAAGAGCUUUGAAGAGGAGAAAUGUCUUCUGAAGAAGAAUCUAUGAUUUCAAGACUAACUCUAGAUAGGGGGCAGCUGGGUACCUCAGUGGAUUGAUAGCCAGGCCUAAAGAUGGGAGGUCCUGGGUUCAAAUCUGGCCUCAGACAUUUCCCAGCUGUGUGACCCUGGGCAAGUUACUUGACCCUCAUUGCCUAGCCCUUAUCACUCUUCUGCCUUGGAGCCAAUUGGCUCCAAGAUGGAAGGUAAGGGUUUAAAAAAAAAAAGACUAACUCUAGAUAGAUGGGAAGUCAGGACUGUGGCUGGCCUUUCCUUAGCUGCUUUGUUUUGACUUCUCUCACCCAAAUCACAGUUCAAGUGUCCCUGAUAUAUUAAUUUCUACUUGUGGAAGUAAGGCUGAGUGAUGAACCAAGCCAGUGCCAUUAUUGUUACUUACAAGAUAUUGAAAGUUCAAGUGAAACCCCCAUUUUCGGAGAAUAUUUUCCUAAGUAGAAGAGACUUUGGUGUUAAGUAUGACUUAUUGUAAUCCCUUUUGCUUGCAUGUUAAUAACUUUCUUUGAAGCAAAGCCACUUAUAAUAUUAUAAAAUUGCUUGCCAAAAGGGCAAUAGUUUUUUUUUUCUCUUCUAAUUCCCUGAUAAGGACCAAUGUGACAAGCAGAGCUUUGUCACUAUAUAAGCAGGAAUAAUUGUGUCUCAAAUUGCACUGCUGCUAAGUACUCAUCUGGUGACCUUCAUCUGGAUGGUGGUACUUGUAUGAUUAUGGAGAAAGUUGGUAUAGGACCAGAAGACACUCUAUAGUCCCAGAAGAGGGAGACGGAGGGGUUCAUGGGCAACUUUGCUCUCCAGGCAUCUACUAGUCAUUGGAGAUCUGGUUGACUAAUUCUCUUUUGCAAUAAUUGGUAUCCUUCAGGAAAUUUCACCAGCUUACAAGUUGUAUAUUAGAUUUUGCUUUUACCUUGGAGGGAUGCUGGGGCAGUGUUCACUACAUAGUUUUUCAUUUAGAGAGCAUUAGCCACUAAAUGUUGAGGAACAGACAAGAGAACUGAUUCAUCUCUCCAGUUCUUGAAAUUAGUCCCACAAAUCUAGAGUACAGAGGAUUUUGGUUGGAAUUUCAGUUCUUCUACUUCCUAAUUCUUAGGCAGGUCAUUUUAAUGUUUCUAGGCCUUUGUUUCCUCAUUUGUAAAAUGAAGGAUUUUGAACUUGGUGACCUCUAAGAUUGUUUCCAGCUUUAAAUCUAUGAUCUUUUCACUUGUUCAAACUUCAUUUAGUCCUGGUACUAACUCUUGCUUCUGAUAUGACCCCCACAUUUUGUCUCUGACCUCUCAGUGUCUCACAUCUCUAGAAACAGACACUAGCUUUGUGUGUCCAAUCUGAUGUUUCUGGCUCUUCCCUGAUUGGAAAACCUCUGGCCAAUUGCCUUUUCUUCUUGGCUUCAUCCUGAGCCAUUUAUUUUUUUAUUUUUUUUAUAUUUAUUUAAUUUAUUUAAAAUAUAUUUAUUAUUAUAAAAAUAUAUUUUUUAUAUUUAUUUUAAAAGCGGUCUCGUUAGUUUUUCUUUUAAAAGUUUCAUCCAAGAAUGAGUGGGGAGACAAUGGUAUCUGGACUUCUAGUCUUCUAGAUUUCUCUCUUAAGAGACAGGAAACCAGACUUAUCCUUGGGCCUUUGGAGUCAUGCUUGGUCAUUGUAUUGGUUCAAGUUCUUAAGUCUUUCUUACAGUUAUUGUCUUUUGCUCUGUUGUAGUCAAUGUUUAAAUUAUUCUUCUGGUUCUGCCCUCCUCACCCUCUAUCAGCUCAUACAAAUCUUCCCAGAUUUCUCUGCUUCUAAUUGUUUCAUCAUUUCUUACAUGCAAUAAUGUUUCCUUAAUUCAGAUACUAUUAUCAUUUGUUCAACAAAACAUUCCCCCAUUGAAGGGCACUCCCUUAGUUUCCAGUUCUUUGCUACAAUGAAUAUAGUGCGAUGAACAUUUUUAUGUACCCUGUUCUUAAUUCAAAAAGAGACAAAUUACUCUUUCAAAAAUAAAUUAAGUUACUUUUUUUCUUUUGUGGCCCCUAAAUGAUCCCCCCCCCCCCCCAUGGGUCAGCAGUCUUUACUUGAAAACUAUUUCCCCACCCUGAUGUUGAAGAGUGAUUGGGAGACUUUUGAGAAGGCAUGUGACUUGAUUAAAGCAGUAGAACAAUUAAAUGAUUUUACCAUGCCAUUUGGAACUUAUUAGAGAGACAGUAGAGGUGGGAAGGCAAGAGGAAACAGAUUCCAGACAGGGUCAGAGUACACACAAGGACAUUAGAACAUUUUUCUCUUGGCCUAUUGGGUAAUAUGUACUUUUUGCACUUUUGUAAAAGGGGAAAGGAAGCUACAGAGGGCUGAUAUCCUUGGAAAUUCUGCCUAAUGGCUUAGCAUGGUGGGAAUUUGCUUAACCUGCUAUGUGAAGGUUGUAUAGCCUUGGGUUUAAAUAACUGAGGUUAGCACUAGGGAAGAAUUUGAUUUAGAGAACAGAAAGGAGUAAAUCCUUUUAAUAUUUAUCCCAUCUCUUUCUUCUUUUCCAUACUUAACUCUCCUCCCUAUUUUCCAGGCUUUCAUUACUACACUCUAGAAUUUGUUGCAGUAGCCUCCUAAAUGACCUGACUCCAAUCUUCUCUUCCUAUAAUCCAAUCUAGGUUAUUUUACUAAAUCAAUAUCUUUCUUUAAAAUUUAAUUUAAAGUUUUAAAAAAACAAACCCUUAUCUUUAUCUUAGAAUCACUGCUAAGUAUUACUUCCAGGGCUGAUGAGUGAUAAGGGCCAGGAAAUUGGGGUUAAGUGACUUGCUCAGGGUCAUAGACCUAGAAUUUGAACCCAGAAUCUCUGAUCUCUGGGACUGGCUCUCAAUCCACUGGGCCACCUAACUGCCCCCACUAUUGCUUUCCAUUGUCAUUUCUCUGUUGAGGGACCUUCCCUGGCUUCCUGUAAUCUUUAUUAUGGCACAAGCCUAUUUUUUAACUUCAUCGCCCACUAUUGCCCCACACAGAUGUUCUGCCAGAUUGGUCUAUUCACUGUCACUCUGAACAGAAGAAUUUCCAUCUUUUUUGCCUUUUCCUCAAGCUAUUUACUAGGCCUGGAAAGCCUUAUUUCUCCUUCUCCUCUUUACAUUUCUAAAUCUUCCCCAUUGCCCUACACUACACUUACUUAGGUGUAACAGUGACUGCCCUGGUCCCUAAUGCCUGAAGGCCAGGUGUAUUACAUUGGGGUCCUCCUCCAGGAGCUCUGAAACCUUAAAGGUGGUUUGGGGUGUCCUUUUCUAACUAUGGAUCUGCGUGAGGCCAAAUUUUCCUCAUAUGCCUCAAUGAAAACAACAUAUUACAACCAAUUGAAUAUACAGUUAUGAGAAUACGGCUAUUUUCUAUCAAGUCAGACAUAAAGGAGAUUUCCAAAAAUAUGUAAAAUGAGGCCACUCUUUUCACUAACAGUUUUGGGGUUAUAUUUAAUUUUCUGAAAAACAUGUCAUUUAUGUUGACAUGCAGUGAACUUACUAUUAUUUAAUAUUGUUAUUAACACAACUUAAAAAGUGAAUAUUAAAAUUUUUUGUUUUAAUCAUUUAUAUGGUAAAAUAUCAAUAGACAAAACCCAUAUAAACAAAAGCUUUUGGGGGGGGGUAUUCAAUAAUUUUUAAGAGUAUAAAGGAGUCCUGGGAUCAAAAAAUUUUGAGAACUACUGAACUAUACUAAUCUACUUAUUGUAUUGAAGACAGGCAGUGAUUUGUCCAGGGUCACACAGCUAAGAAGUGUAUGAGAUCACACUUGAACCCAGGUCCUCACAAAUCUGGGUCUGGCUAUCUACCAUGCUACCUAGCUGCCUCCACAUUUUUGUUCACCUUGUCUUCCUCCUUCCAGUCUGCAUGAUUUUUUCCUCUUCUCUCUGUCCAUUCAAAUGUUUACUAACUCAAGUCCUACCUCUGUCAGGGGGCAAUUUCUGUCAUUUAAGUUUUGUGCUGUUUACUAUCUAUGUUAUUCUUUGGACAUUUAUGCAUAUCUUGCUGUAAACUCUUUGGGUUCUGGAACAAUGUGUCUGGAUUUCUCUGUGAAUUUCCCAAGGCUGAGUUGUUAAUAGCCUCCAUAAAUGUUUGUUUCUACAUGUGCUACAAGUGAAGUAGCUAUGAUAGAGAGAACUGAGGACUCUUAAUAGUACAGUUUUUGAAGGUAGGAUCUUAGGUUUCUAGAAUUGGGACUAGAAGGAACCUGAGGUCAACUAGUUCAACUUCCUCAUUUUAUACAUAAGGAAAUGAAACCUCAGAGAAAUGGAACCCAGGUCUCCUGAUUUCAAAUCCAGUGCUCUCUCUCUCUCUUAUAUAACAUUUGUUGAAUGAAUGAGUGAAAUACUGAGCGAUGUUGAAGAAGAAAUGAUAGAGCCUGAAGGAAGUGUAGAGAGGGAGUGAGAAAAAGGAGUGGAAAGAGAGGGAAAGAGGGAAAGAGAGAGAGAGAGGAGGCAGAGGGAGAGAACUUUAAGACUAUAUCAAGAUUCUUUGCCUUGAGAGAUGAGUGACAUGGACCCCUUCAAUUGGGAGAAAGUUGGAUGCCAAAGAAUCAGAAAAAGGAGCUACAUUGUUCAUUAUCUACAAUAUUUAUUUUUAGAUCUUUUUCUUUCUGAUUUUUUUCUCUUUUGAAAACUGAGGCUUCCUAAUUUGACUUCUCUGUAUUUGAUCAGAAUGAUUUUAAUUCUUUUAAAGAAACUAUACCCAAAGUCUGUGCACUUUGUUGUAUUUUUCAUUAAAAAAAAAACAAACCCUCUUUUUCCAUCCUAGCAAAUGCUCAAUCUUUUCCACUUCAAUAGCCUGAAAUUCUCCCCUGGGAGUCAUAAUCUCUUUAAAUAUUUUUAGGUUGCCAGAUUUCUUAUGUUUGCUCUCCAGGAAGCCAAUUUUGUUUCUAUGCUCAUGAGAGUAGUCCAGCUCCAUCUUUUGCCUGCUUGCUGCAUCACAAUAAAAUGCCGCCUAAUUACUGCCUUUGUUGAAUCCCAGACAUGUUAGUGUUUGUCUGCAGGCUAAGACUGUGGACCAUAAACUCUUUUCCAACUGGAGAUAAGUCUCUCCAUUAUUUAAAUCUCUAGGUCUUAUAACAGGAGGUUACUAUCCAGCCACCAACAUCAACCCAAUUAUUUCCAGUCUUGUAACCAAAGUGAUCAAGUAAAAUGACAUAAGCAACUAAUUAUUGAGAUAUUUAAAAAUAAUAUCUUGCUGGAAGAGAGUUUAAGAGAAUUCUAAAGCCAGAGUGUUCAGCUUCAGAGGCAGUGUCAGUCCCCUGGCUUUUGAUCCCUUCAUUAUUUUCAUUCUUGGUGUGAGAGUAAGAAGUCUGAAGGAAGAAUUUUGAGUGUGAGGACCUGAGAAGUUUUACUACUUCUUGUAAUGGGAAAAAGCCGGAAGUCAGACCAAGAUUCAUACUGGAUUUUAAAUAAACACUUCUACAAAUAAUCCCUUCUUAGGGGAAUGGAGCCAAAUAAAUUCCUAUUUUCUUAGAAAAUGUCUUCAAAUCUGACUUUCUCUAAAAAGUAAAAAUACAGUUUGGAAAGGAUGCUAACCUUUUGGAACUGUGAUAGAAAAAUGAACCAGGCAGUUAAAAAAAUGAAAUGCAAUGGGAUUUUAUGUAAGAAUCAAACACUAAAUAAUGAAUGAUUAUCUCCUUAAUUUUCAGUGGAAAGAAUUUGUAGGAAAAGCCAGAUGUUAGCUAUGUGCUCAGCCUCUGAGGUGGUGUCUAGCAACGAUAUUAGUGAUUGCAAGCAUUGUGCUUUAGGAAAACCUUGCAGAUGAGAGUGAAGAGUGAGAAGCUGUCCAAUUUCUUCGUACUAGUCCCUGUCUUAAAGACUCUUCCCCAGUUCACCAGCCAACUUGUUUUUCUGCUUUCUCUAUCUUUGUCCAGUCCUGGCAGCUCAGACAAGAUACUAACUGUGAAUGUCCUGAUCUCCCUGCUUGCUCCUGCUGCCCCGUGUCCCAGGGUGAUGAAAUAUGUGAAAAAUGAUGAAGAGCUGAGUUUGAAUCCUGACUUUGAACCUUAUUAGUUGUGUGACAAUAAGAACUUAACCUGAAUUAUUUUAUUUGUAAAAUGAAGAUAAUAAUAGCAGUUAUCUUACAGGGUUGUACUCAUGAGAAUCAAAUAAGAUAAACUUCAAGGCACUAUAUAUUAUUAUACUUUAGGCGGGCUGAGCUACUGUCCCUGGUUCAGGUUCACAGAAUCUGUCACAAAGCUUGCCUUUUUUCAACUGAGAUAAUUUUUAUUGGUGGCAUACUGGUACAUGUAGCCUCCCAGUAAGCAAUGUUGAGAGAGAAAGGAUCUUUUACCCCCUCUUAUCUGGCAGGUGCAAUUAUAUUGCUUAGAGAUGACCAUAACAUUGUUAAAAAAUGAGUUUAGUUGUAUGACCUUUAUUUACUCCUUUAAUAUCUAUGAAUCUCAGUUUUCUCUUCUAUGAAAUGGAGAUAAUAAUGUUGAUAAUCACUCAGGGGUGUUGUGGGGAUCAAAUGAAAUAAGGUAUAUAGAGGGCUUUGUAAACCUUGUAGCACCAUAUAAACAAAGAGAGAGAGAAAGAGAAGAAAGGAAGGAAGGCAGGAAAGAAUGAAGAAAAAGUAAAGAAGAAAAGAAGAAAAAAAGGAAAGGAAGGAGGAAAGGAAAAGGAAGAAAGAAGAAAAAACAAUGGAUUGAACAAGUUUGUAAAACACAUUGAAUUAUUAGAAUGCAAAUGGGUAAGUGAAAUAUUACUGCAUUUUGUCCUACAGACUUAUGGGAUAGAAAUUACUUUAAUUGGACCCUGAUUCAAGGAUCUGUUAUAAAUUUAUUUUCUUAUUUAGAAUUUUUACACUUAAGACUUUGAAUAGUCUAUAUUUCAUCCAGAAGUUAUCUUUUCUCUUUUAUUUAUUUUUUUAUGUUUUUGAUUUGCCAAUUGAUUCAUAUACCUCAUAACUCAGCCAUGCAUCCCUAAGUGAACCCUGUGUUUUUCAAUCACCCUCUUCAGGGGAGAAUGUAUUAUUAUUCUAAAAUGCAAAGUUUAAAUUCUUUUUGAGAGUAAUUUUAUUAACAUGCUACCUCUCCAAAUCCAGAAAGUGAACUGUUUGGAGAAGGUAUCAUGAAGAUGCCUCCACAGACAACAUGAUGCACCAGAAGAUCCAGAGUGAACUUUGGGAUGCGGUGAUUUGAACUGUGUGGGGUUGAAUGCAUUUGUUUUGUAUGUAUAUGCUUAUGCUGAAGGGGGCUGCCCCCAACUGGUCUUUUGUCAAUGCGCCUAACAAUCAUGAAUUUUGUUCUCUUUUCCUCUUAUCCUCAAAUUAUUGUAAUUUCAAAGUUGGUUAUGUUUACAAGAUCCAUUGGAAAGGCUAGUCUUCCAUGGAUCUCAGGGGGAAUGUAUAAUUGAAAAUCUGUUACCCUAAAAAAAAACAAAACUACAUUUCCCAGGAGUCCACUGACUUCCUGUCCUUACAUACUUCCUGUAGACAGGGGAUAUUAGGCAAGGACGUGAAGGAUCCCACCUUUUUACUUCCCGUCCCAAGUUUGGUGGUGGUAAGGUGGGUGUCUGAACUGGCUGAUCAGCCACGGGCAUGUGGUCUUUAUUUUGUAUCUUCUUUAUUCCUUGAUUUCUAAUGAUCGUUAAUCUCUUAAAAUAUGUUUUUAUUAUUGAGAUUUAAUUUUAACUUUUACAAAAGGCAUAAAAGUCUAGAGUGUCUACUAUUGCUAUUAUUUGUCUAUGGAAGGCGCUUCAAUGGCUGAAACUUUAUCUGAUCUAACCAAUUCAAAAGUAGGUGAUCUUUAUUAAAUUGUUGUAGAAUUUGAAAUAUUUCAUUGAAAUAUUCCAUUCAUUUCUUCUCUCUCUCUCUCUCUCUCUCUCUCUCUUUGUGAAAUAAUAGAUGAUGUUUAUAUGGUGUUUCAAGGUUUACAAAGUCCUCUAUAUACCUUAUUUCAUUCGAUCCUCACAACACCCCUGAGUGGUUAUCAACAUUAUUAUCUCCAUUUCAUAGAAGAGGAAACUGAGACUCAUAGAUAUUAAAGUAGUAUUUAAAGGUUACACAACUAAAUUUGUUUU